rnacentral:rRNA from 1 species
GACAGAGGGUGCAACCGUUGUUCGGAAUUACUGGGCGUAAAGCGAGUGUAGGCGGUCUGUAAAGUCGGGUGUGAAAGCCCCGGGCUCAACCCGGGAAGUGCACUCGAAACUCACAGGCUAGAGUAUCGGAGAGGUUGGUGGAAUUCUCGGUGUAGAGGUGAAAUUCGUAGAUAUCGAGAGGAACACCGGUGGCGAAGGCGGCCAACUGGACGAAUACUGACGCUGAGACUCGAAAGCGUGGGGAGCAAACAGG